rnacentral:rRNA from 1 species
GAUAAACGCUGGCGGCGUGCCUAAUACACGCAAGUCGAGCGAACGGACGAGAAGCUUGCUUCUCUGAUGUUAGCGGCGGACGGGUGGGUAACACGUGGAUAACCUACCUAUAAGACUGGGAUAACUUCGGGAAACCGGAGCUAAUACCGGAUAAUAUUUUGAACCGCAUGGUUCAAAAGUGAAAGACGGUCUUGCUGUCACUUAUAGAUGGAUCCGCGCUGCAUUAGCUAGUUGGUAAGGUAACGGCUUACCAAGGCAACGAUGCAUAGCCGACCUGAGAGGGUGAUCGGCCACACUGGAACUGAGACACGGUCCAGACUCCUACGGGAGGCAGCAGUAGGGAAUCUUCCGCAAUGGGCGAAAGCCUGACGGAGCAACGCCGCGUGAGUGAUGAAGGUCUUCGGAUCGUAAAACUCUGUUAUUAGGGAAGAACAUAUGUGUAAGUAACUGUGCACAUCUUGACGGUACCUAAUCAGAAAGCCACGGCUAACUACGUGCCAGCAGCCGCGGUAAUACGUAGGUGGCAAGCGUUAUCCGGAAUUAUUGGGCGUAAAGCGCGCGUAGGCGGUUUUUUAAGUCUGAUGUGAAAGCCCACGGCUCAACCGUGGAGGGUCAUUGGAAACUGGAAAACUUGAGUGCAGAAGAGGAAGGUGGAAUUCCAUGUGUAGCGGUGAAAUGCGCAGAGAUAUGGAGGAACACCAGUGGCGAAGGCGACUUUCUGGUCUGUAACUGACGCUGAUGUGCGAAAGCGUGGGGAUCAAACAGGAUUAGAUACCCUGGUAGUCCACGCCGUAAACGAUGAGUGCUAAGUGUUAGGGGGUUUCCGCCCCUUAGUGCUGCAGCUAACGCAUUAAGCACUCCGCCUGGGGAGUACGACCGCAAGGUUGAAACUCAAAGGAAUUGACGGGGACCCGCACAAGCGGUGGAGCAUGUGGUUUAAUUCGAAGCAACGCGAAGAACCUUACCAAAUCUUGACAUCCUUUGACAACUCUAGAGAUAGAGCCUUCCCCUUCGGGGGACAAAGUGACAGGUGGUGCAUGGUUGUCGUCAGCUCGUGUCGUGAGAUGUUGGGUUAAGUCCCGCAACGAGCGCAACCCUUAAGCUUAGUUGCCAUCAUUAAGUUGGGCACUCUAAGUUGACUGCCGGUGACAAACCGGAGGAAGGUGGGGAUGACGUCAAAUCAUCAUGCCCCUUAUGAUUUGGGCUACACACGUGCUACAAUGGACAAUACAAAGGGCAGCGAAACCGCGAGGUCAAGCAAAUCCCAUAAAGUUGUUCUCAGUUCGGAUUGUAGUCUGCAACUCGACUACAUGAAGCUGGAAUCGCUAGUAAUCGUAGAUCAGCAUGCUACGGUGAAUACGUUCCCGGGUCU